rnacentral:rRNA from 1 species
ACUCCUACGGGAGGCAGCAGUGGGAAUAUUGCACAAUGGGCGCAAGCCUGAUGCAGCCAUGCCGCGUGUGUGAAGAAGGCCUUCGGGUUGUAAAUGCACUUUCAGUUGGUGAGGAAAGGUUAGUCGCUAAUCAUCGGCUAGCUGUGACGUUAGCAACAGAAGAAGCACCGGCCUAACUCCGUGCCAGCAGCCGCGGGUAAUACGGAGGGUGCGAGCGUU